GGCGGACGGGUGAGUAAUGUCUGGGAAACUGCCCGAUGGAGGGGGAUAACUACUGGAAACGGUAGCUAAUACCGCAUAACGUCGCAGACCAAAGUGGGGGACCUUCGGGCCUCACACCAUCGGAUGUGCCCAGAUGGGAUUAGCUAGUAGGUGGGGUAAUGGCUCACCUAGGCGACGAUCCCUAGCUGGUCUGAGAGGAUGACCAGCCACACUGGAACUGAGACACGGUCCAGACUCCUACGGGAGGCAGCAGUGGGGAAUAUUGCACAAUGGGCGCAAGCCUGAUGCAGCCAUGCCGCGUGUAUGAAGAAGGCCUUCGGGUUGUAAAGUACUUUCAGCGGGGAGGAAGGCGGUGAGGUUAAUAACCUUGCCGAUUGACGUUACCCGCAGAAGAAGCACCGGCUAACUCCGUGCCAGCAGCCGCGGUAAUACGGAGGGUGCAAGCGUUAAUCGGAAUUACUGGGCGUAAAGCGCACGCAGGCGGUCUGUUAAGUCAGAUGUGAAAUCCCCGGGCUUAACCUGGGAACUGCAUUUGAAACUGGCAGGCUUGAGUCUCGUAGAGGGGGGUAGAAUUCCAGGUGUAGCGGUGAAAUGCGUAGAGAUCUGGAGGAAUACCGGUGGCGAAGGCGGCCCCCUGGACGAAGACUGACGCUCAGGUGCGAAAGCGUGGGGAGCAAACAGGAUUAG
rnacentral:rRNA from 1 species